rnacentral:rRNA from 1 species
GACGAACGCUGGCGGCGUGCCUAAUACAUGCAAGUCGAACGCAGUGGGGACGGGUAAGUAACACGUGGGUAACCUUCCCGCCGAGGGGAUAACACUUGGAAACAGGUGCUAAACCGAUACUGAUGGAUGGACCCGCGGUGCAUUAGCUAGUUGGUGUGGUAACGUCUAACCAAGGCCACGAUUCAUAACCAACCGUAGAGGGUGAUCGGCCACACUGGGACGGAGACACGGCCCAGACUCCUACGUGAGGCAGCAGUAGGGAAUAUGGGGCAAUGGACGAAAGUCUGACCUAGCAACGCCGCGUGAGUGAAGAAGGUUUUCGGAUCGUAAAGCUCUGUUGUUAGAGAAGCGGUAUCUAACCAGAAAGCCACGGCUAACUACGUGCCAGCCGCCGCGGUAAUUC